UUCUGUGUGUGAUAAUGGCUGCCCGACGUCCGCGCGUUGUGGCCUUUAUGUGGCCAGUUUUUCCGCGAUGAAACCUGGGCUAUUUUGCCGUUGAUUUUCGGAGGGACGUGGUGGUUUUUCAGAUUGAAGGUCCCAAGCCCUUAGACAAAAGCAGAGGGAAAACCAUUGCUGCAGAGCUUGGACAGGGAGUCGUGUGCAGUCAAGCAUGAUAGUGAUUACAAGAAGCACUAUGGCAUUUAGAGAGGUUUCAUAGCCUACCAUUCCCGAGCAGUUUUUUGUACCAGCUUCAUUACCCCCGUUGUGCGCUUUGGAGAAAUCUAAUUUCAUGAAAAAUAACGCCUCUGUUUAAGGUCAGCCACAGCCAAAUGAUGCGCCCUUCAAUUUCCGGCAUUUUUUAACAGACAUUUUACUGUAUUAAUUGACGUAGGAAUAUAAAUCCAUUGAAUUGUUUCAUUCUAAAUAGAAAUAGCUUAUGGAGAGUUUGUAUUCAUUACAAAUGAUUGCAUGGUAUAUAGCCCAUGAAUGGGUAUCUCAUUUUGAGAGCAGAUAUUUUAGCAAGCUAUGACAAAUUUGGUCAUUAAGUUAAUAAUAUUUCUUUGCUUGUUUUCUUUUGCUUUGCAGAAUACUGGUUCAUUGUCAUCAACAUUAAGCAUUCCGGAUAGCUUUUCAAAUAAAUCUUCCCACGGAAGGCAGUGUGUGUAUGCAACAAAGAACUAAGUUUGCCCCUCCUAAAUAUAAGUUCAUAUCUAUAAUGAACAGUUGAGCUUUAAGAUUUUGUUCCAAUGCAUCACUGGUGAGUAAGGCAUAUUUGGCUAGUCUUUGUUCCAUCAUCGUAUGUGAAAGUGACCACAUGUGGGAAAUAAAGCUGAGUGCCUGAAAACAUAACAAUUAUUCCCAAGAAUGCUUCUUUUUCUGUCAUUGUCCUGAAACUUGUUCAAAAAUAUUAGCAAAGCAACUUGAUGAUAUCAACGCACUCGAUUCAUAGAGUCCUAACAGACAAUAUAUUUACCUUGGAGGUUCAUACCUUUUGGUGUCCCUGUUCAGAUAAUGGCUUUCCCUCUGCUUUGUGUAAGGGCUUGGGACCUUCAUAUCCAAGGCAAAGAUGGACAUGAAAUGAAACUUUCUGUUGUUUGUUCAAGUAUUUUAAUGCGUGUAAAUGUUGAUUCUGUGUUUUUAUCCCCCAUCAUACAAUUGUGUCCAUCUUUGCCCUGAAUUCGGCAGCAUUAAAAACCAUUUUUUUUUUUUUUUUGGG